rnacentral:lncRNA from 1 species
GCAGGUUCUCUAUUCAAUUGCUUCUCAACACUCAAACUUCAGCAACACCUUGGGCAUUAAAUUCAGCAGCAAUAGACACAGAAAUUUUUAGCCCAGAAUGACGACCUAAACUGUAGAAACAAAGCAUUAGAAUCAUAGCAAUAUUGAGUCAGAAUAACCACGAAGUUUAUGUAUCAAAAGCACUUAAUUCAACAAAGAGAACUUUUUAGAUGUAAAAACCAUAUUUAAAACUAUCACUGCUAAACUCGCGCAUAAAUAUCAACGGACAUAAACUUUCGGCAGAGUAAGCUAAAUAUGUGCUCAACCUAAUCACAAUUCAACCAUGCUCAAACUAUAGUCCAACUGAAUCCUCUUUAUUAAACUCAACAAUAGCAACAACUAUUAAAAACUAGUGAUAACAAGUCAAACUAGGAGAAUUUCAACUAUCAAUUUACUCCAAAAACUUCACAAAGUGGAAAACUUCAACAAGACAAGCUUCAGAACUCCACAGCCUUAGAACAAUGAUAAUUGGCAUUUAAUGCAAGAUUUUCUUUUAGACAUUGGUCACGAAAAAUUCAUAGAUUGAAUUAAAAUUACCAAACAAUACUCCAACAAACAAAGACCGAUCUCAACAGAACUUUCACCAGCAUAAAAGAAGUUUGACAAGAAAAUUCCAACUUGAACGCUAAGAAUUUCAAUAAUAGAGUCCAUUGACACAACUCAAUUCACACAAUUUCUAACAAGCAACUUCUGAAUUCUAAAAAUAACCUAUGUGGCUAAAAGUAGCUAGAAGUGCAAAAUCUGGAUAUGACCCCGCAAAGCCAAGAAUCUAAGAUUUACAAGGAAAAUCGAACCCUAUGUGGGUUGCCUAUGUAUCACGCCCCGAAAGACGAGAAUCAGGUUCGCGUAGUUCGGGCAAAUUGGAUACGGGCAAGAAUAAUAAAAAAACAGCUAAUUUUUAUGCCCUGAAAGACGAGAAUCAGGUUUGCGUAGUUCGGGCAAAUUAGAUACAGGCAAAAAGUAAAAAAAAAAGCAGCUAAGUUUCAAAGAAAACAUUUUCUUUUGUCUCUUUUUGAAAAAUGAUGAAAUAUGUAAACUAAUUUUGGACUUUACCUUUUUCUUUUGAUUUUCAGGAAAUAAUAAGAAGUGUGAAAUAUUCUUUUUUGAAUUUUUCACAUAUCCCGUGUCUCUUUUUAAAUAAAAAUAUAACAAAACAUAACCAAAUCCUACUUGCUUUAUUUUUACCUUCACCCUCUUUUCUUUUCAUUGUUUUUCUUCUUCCUUUUCAUUUACCCUCAGCUAUCAUUGGUCUGCCAAAUGACCCUUGACCCUUUCACCCUUAGAGAAAUGCAACAUGUAUCACAUUAGGAUGCAUCAGGAUGGUCUGUUAUUUUGGGUACACCUGUCCUAGACGGACCCAAUUCUGUGUUGAGUCCCCUAAGUCAAAUGCAUAAUGCAGAUAAGCGUUCAUACUAGGGAUCCGACAUGAGGUUUCGUUAUACUAAUUUCAGCACCUGGGUAUUUUUUCUAGAGUGUGUACCCGAGCGGACAACUUGAGUCGAGGAUAGGGCUACGUACCGGGGACCCACAAGUUUGUCCGACUUUAUAACUUGUCCGAGCCUCUUUCUUAUUUUAAGGUAUGACACUAACAGAAUAGGGAGUCUCCGCCAGCGAGCAUAUCCUUAAAGAUAAAGAGAGAAGGGUUUCAUAACAGUUUAUAUACAGUUCAAAUAAUAUCAAAGCGGUAAAAGCAUCAUUUUGCACAUUAAGUCAACAUGUAGAAUCAAGUAAUAUACAAAGCCAAACACAACAAUUAUUCUAAGCUCGAAUUCUUGAACCCUAAACCAGAGAUUCUGGGUUCUGUCCCCAGCGGAGUCGCCAGAUCUGUCACACCUCCUUUUGGCUAUCCACAACCCGGCGAAGGGCGUAGAUAAGGGAGAUUUUCCAGUUAAAGGACAAUCGAAACGGGAUUCAAUUAUUUAAGAGAAUUUCAGAACCGCCACUUGGGAGAUUUAUGGUGCAUCAAGUUACCGUUUAGAAUCCUGAAUCGAGGAAAGAAUGACUCUGUUUAAUAGUACGCGAACCAGAAAUCCGAGUAAGAAAUUUUGUUAACCCGGGAGAAGGUGUUAGGCAUUCCCAGGUUCCGUGGUUCUAGAAAGGUCGCUCAAUUGUCAUAUUUGGCUUAAAUUACCUGAUUUUAGAACAUGUUUUAACUUAUAUGCUUUCUAACCUUAAACCGCUUUUAUCAUUAUUUAAAAAAAAAUUGCAACGUUGUUAAAACAUGUCUCGAGCCACGUCACAUAAAUGAACCCGUGGAUUUUGACACAUUCCAACUUCGUUGAAAUUUGGAUUUGUGUCAUGUCACAUAAAUGCACCCGUGGGUUUUGACACAUACUAACUUCGUUGAGAUUUGGAUUUGGGUCACAUAAAUGUGUACUAGUAUUUAGGAAAGUGAAUUCUUUAACUAGUGCACCUAAAAUGAAAUGCGUUUGAAAGUUUGUGAGGGCCAUGAAAUUUCGACUCAAUGGCUCGCCUCGGAUUCUAAGGAUCAAUAUAAUUGAGGGUCAUGCAAUUGUUAUUUUUUUGUUUGGCAUGGCACACCUCACUAACUAAUGGGCUUUAGUCAUUCCCCAAUGCUCCUACGGUCCAGUAACCAAAAGAGAAGCAACAUGAAAUUGAUUUUUCUACAUAAUCAUGCUUCCCUCAAACAAAUGUCUGUUAACUGUUCUAAUCAACUUCAAAUACGGGUAAUAACUGGACAACAUGUCCUCUCUAUAUCCUUUUCAGUCCACAAACUUAGCAAACAUUAAAAAAUGAAAGCACAAGCCAAAGAACAUUUAUCACAUGGUAAAAUAACAACUAACAACAAAUGAAGCCAACCAGCUUCUGAAUCCAUAGAAAUGGCAGAAUUCACGAUGCAACUCCAAAUUCAUGCUAUCCAAACCAUGUUAUGCAAUUGAAGGGAAAUACUAGUGAACAAUGAGUAAGGAAAUUCCCACUGUCAUCUAAUAGUCACUGAUAUCAAUUGAAAUAGGGAAAGUAAUAGCAACAACAAUUAUAAGAAGAGGGUAAUCUUAUGUAAUGCCUACGAAGAUUGUGUAUUGAAACUGACCCGGACUUCAUCGAAAAAUCAUGCAAUUUGUCUAUAUUUUUAGAAGCAAAAUGGAUAUGAUGCCACCAAACACAUAGUAGGAGUAACACAUCCAUAGUUACCAGAAAACACAUAAAUAAUCCAGCUUGAGUUUGGGGCCUUUUGUUGGUUGAAGUAAGUCAGUUAGUAGUUAACAUUCAAAUGUAACAACUGUCAAUUAAUCUCUCAAGGAUAACACGAUUAACGAUAGCGGGGAUUUCACAAACAUAGCAUCAUAAAUAAAUAGAAACAGAGCAUAUAAAUGAAGAGGUCGAAACCCUGACCUUAAACUGGAAACAGAGAUUAGCGAUCCCAAAUCGAACCUCGGUGGAAACUCGAAUAGAGCCUCAUCACAUCAAUUGAAUUCCAUUCACAAGAUCACACUAAUUUCUUAUGAACGAGCUAGCCUUUUUUUACAGAGAAUUCCAAGCGAAUUCAAUUAAAAUUCCAACAAAGUUUACACGAAUGGAAAUAGGACUCGAAUCAGAAGCCUCGAACGAAUCUGUCAAACAAAGAACACAUCGGAAAACUCAACCUCAGUGACUCUAGCAGCAAACUCACUGUGAUUGAACUCCAUUCGAGAACCAAAUGUUUGGAAAUCAAUGGGAGGAAGUAGAGGACGCUGUGAAGGGUCUAUUCUACAGCAAAAUUAGCACCUCCUAGUCUCUUCCUCGAUCCUUUAGGCGUUAUUUUGUUCUUUGUUUUUAAUUCUUAAGGUCUGCAGUUGCUCUCUCUACAGGGGUCUGUCGGGUUUUAUUUUCAGAUCAAGACUGUUGCUUCUUGUUCCAGUGGUGAUGGAGGAGCUCCGUUUACUGAUCUUGUGGAGGUUUCGGGCUGUUUUUGGCAGUAGCUUCAAGCUACAUCUUUGGGAGAAGACAAGGUGUUUAUGGGUUGAAGUUUGGAGGGUUUAAUGGAGCUUUCUGUUUGUGUUUCAGUGAGCUCCCAUGGUGAAAAACAUGAAGAAGAAAAAUUAUCAAGAUGGUGAAGAAACCCCCUAAAAGCUGCGGAGCCUCCAAGCCUCUCUGCGUAUGUUUUUUUUGUGAAGACCCCACCCAACUCCCUUCUCGUG